rnacentral:rRNA from 1 species
AUUGAACGCUGGCGGCAUGCCUUACACAUGCAAGUCGAACGGCAGCACGGGAGCAAUCCUGGUGGCGAGUGGCGAACGGGUGAGUAAUAUAUCGGAACGUGCCCAGUCGUGGGGGAUAACGCAGCGAAAGCUGUGCUAAUACCGCAUACGAUCUAAGGAUGAAAGCGGGGGAUCGCAAGACCUCGCGCGAUUGGAGCGGCCGAUAUCAGAUUAGCUAGUUGGUGGGGUAAAGGCCCACCAAGGCGACGAUCUGUAGCUGGUCUGCGAGGACGACCAGCCACACUGGAACUGAGACACGGUCCAGACUCCUACGGGAGGCAGCAGUGGGGAAUUUUGGACAAUGGGAGCAAGCCUGAUCCAGCAAUGCCGCGUGCAGGAUGAAGGCCUUCGGGUUGUAAACUGCUUUUGUACGGAACGAAACGGCCCUUUCUAAUACAGGGGGCUAAUGACGGUACCGUAAGAAUAAGCACCGGCUAACUACGUGCCAGCCGCCGCGGUAAAAC